rnacentral:rRNA from 1 species
CGGUGACGUUAAGCAAAUCCCAGAAAUAACGUCCCAGUUCGGAUUGUAGUCUGCAACCCGACUACAUGAAGCUGGAAUCGCUAGUAAUCGCGAAUCAGAAUGUCGCGGUGAAUACGUUCCCGGGUCUUGUACACACCGCCCGUCACACCAUGGGAGUCGGAAAUGCCCGAAGUCAGUGACCCAACCGUAAGGAGGGAGCUGCCGAAGGUGGAGCCGGUAACUGGGGUGAAGUCGUAACAAGGUACC